rnacentral:rRNA from 1 species
CCUACGGGAGGCAGCAGUGGGGAAUAUUGGACAAUGGGCGAAAGCCUGAUCCAGCCAUGCCGCGUGUGUGAAGAAGGCCUUCGGGUUGUAAAGCACUUUCAGUGGGGAAGAAAGCCUUGGGGCUAAUACCCUCGAGGCAGGACAUAACCCAAAGAAGAAGCACCGGCUAACUCCGUGCCAGCAGCCGCGGUAAUACAGAGGGGUGCGAGCGUUAAUCGGAAUUACUGGGCGUAAAGCGCGCGUAGGCGGUCUGAUAAGCCGGUUGUGAAAGCCCCGGGCUCAACCUGGGAACGGCAUCCGGAACUGUCAGGCUAGGGUGCAGGAGAGGAAGGUAGAAUUCCCGGUGUAGCGGUGAAAUGCGUAGAGAUCGGGGGGAAUACCAGUGGCGAAGGCGGCCUUCUGGACUGACACUGACGCUGAGGUGCGAAAGCGUGGGUAGCAAACAGGAUUAGAUACCCUGUAGUC